UCUCCCAUCUAGCCGCCGGACGGCCGUCCCACGCCACUCCUCCGCUCACUGCCUCUCCCAUCUGGAAUCACCCUCUCCUACGAGUGGAUCGCUGCCCUCCGGUCCACCAUGUGCCGUCGCCUCGCCGCCUCGCGCUGCUGCCUGUGCGCAAUGCCGUCCGCUGCAACACCUUGCCACGCCCUCCCGACCGCAAACUCCUCGCCUUUCAGCGGCGCCCGGCACGCACGCCCCCGCACAGACCCUUCUCCAUCUCCCGGCCCUGCCGUCUACCCGUCUCGCCGCCGGCGAGGCAGCCAAGGCGAUCUCGAGCAGCGCAUCCUUUGCUGACUGCGGUGCCCCUCCAGAUGUCAUCCUGCAUCCCCUCUUUGUCUCGCGGGAUGGCCCCCGAGGAGCCGGUGUAUUUGUUGUAGGGCGAUGGUGGCUUCUCUUCUAUCAAACAAAAGUUGAGGCAAGAGCAUGAUUCAGUUGCGAGGGACAAAGGCAAUUCCAAGAUGACAGUAGAAUUUGAUGAGGGAGAAUGAGCUAAACAGUCCUCCGGACUCCGGAUGCAGGCAUGCAACAUUGUAAAUGGGACGGGCAACUAAAAUAUAAGAGUCAUUGCUGCCAUCCACGGAAAGACUUGAGUGAGGCAAAGGAAUACAAAAAGAAUCUGCCAGAUGCUACAAAGAUGACUACAGCAGUCAUGGAUGUAAAAAAAAGCUCAUUUUAAUCAUUGAGUUUUAAAUCAUGGACAUAGAGCCAUGGAUUGUGUGAAGGAACAUCCUAAAUUGUUCGAAGUAUGUGGGAUUGCCUGUUUUGAGCUAGGAGGAUUUUGAUGUACGUAACUCUUUAUUUUUUGGAAUUCUGAACUGAAGUUUGCCACACCUUGAAUCUUUUAGAAAGAAAGGAAGAUAGAUGUCUGUGGCACUGUCUUCCUUUAUUUAUUUUUCUCUUUGCAGCUAUAGGCACAUCAGGAUAAGGUAUGAUGCAUCCUUGUGAACUAUAGUGAUGAGGACUAAGGCACAUGACCAUUUCAUCUUAUCUUUCUCUACGUAUUAGGAUUUAGAAGCAAACUACUUAUUAGGAUUUAGAAGCAGAACCUAGGAUUGUACAUGCGAACUACUACCUCUCUACCACUGGUACAGAGGGAGUACAUGGAGUUCUUCUUGACUGAUCCUUUGGCAUUUUGUUGAGUUUUUAUUGAGUUGUAGAGCUGAAAAACUAGCGAAUUGUACCUGCUGUCUUGGUGUAUUUACUCAACAAUUUCUAUUACCAUGUUGCAUUAGUAAAGACGUGCAGGCUACAUCUCCUUGAUCCUUACCAAUUAUCAUUACUCUCUAUUUCCACUGGGAAUUUUAAAAUACAUCUCACUGGUCAUUAUGUUUUCGAGCAUGACAAGUGCAUUGCACGUACACGAUACCAGUGAUCCCCUAAUUGUUUGCAAUGUGAUGCUUUUCUUUUUACCGUUGAUGAUCAGAUCCAAUUCGAGGUCAUCUUAGAAUAAUCACGUAACUUAGUGUUUCUUAUAAUAAUGCUCCGACGUUUGGUUUUUGAUAUGCACAUUUCAUAUUAAUCAAGACGUGCAUUGGCCUUUGAUCCUUUGAUUUACAAGCUAGAGUAAUUAGUUCUGUUUUAUACGACUGACAAGAUAUAAAUAUUCUUCUGCUUCACCUAUAAUCAGGAUUCACAUGUAAGGAGAGGAGGGUAUUGAUGGAAUCAAUUUAUUUGUUAGGUUUUUGUUGCCUUCUUGUUUCCCGA